rnacentral:rRNA from 1 species
CAAGGCAACGAUGGGUAGGGGUCCUGAGAGGGAGAUCCCCCACACUGGUACUGAGACACGGACCAGACUCCUACGGGAGGCAGCAGUGAGGAAUAUUGGUCAAUGGGCGCAAGCCUGAACCAGCCAUGCCGCGUGCAGGAUGACGGUCCUAUGGAUUGUAAACUGCUUUUGCACAGGAAGAAACACUCGGUCGUGACCGAGCUUGACGGUACUGUGAGAAUAAGGAUCGGCUAACUCCG